GACGAACGCUGGCGGCGUGCCUAAUACAUGCAAGUAGGACGCAGUUGCGAACGGGUGAGUAACGCGUAGGUAACUACCUAUUAGAGGGGGAUAACUAUUGGAAACGAUAGCUAAUACCGCAUACUAGUAGAUGGACCUGCGUUGUAUUAGCUAGUAGGUAGGGUAAUGGCCUACCUAGGCAACGAUACAUAGCCGACCGGGGGAGGUGGUCGGGCAACAUGGGACUGGAGCACGGGCCCGGAUCCUACCGGAGGGAACAGGAGGGGAACUUCGGCAAUGGGGGGAACCCUGACCGAGCAACGCCGCGGGAGUGAAGAAGGUUUUCGGAUCGUAAAGCUCUGUUGUUAAGGAAGCGGUACUUAACCAGAAAGGGACGGCUAACUACGUGCCAGCAGCCGCGGUAAUAC
rnacentral:rRNA from 1 species